UGCUUAGUUACUGGCCGGGGUUAAACCAUGACAAUGUAUCAAAAAUAAAUGCAGAAACACUUUUGUACCAAUGUUAGUAAUUAGCAGAAAGAAAUGGUAGCUGAUAUAUAAAAGUUUUCACUUUGACAAAUUCUUGUUUAGAAAAACGUGGUAUCAUACUGCAUUGGAAAUAUAAGAAGAAUGUGAAGAAUAGAAGAGUUAUAGGGACUAUUUACAAAAUAAAGCUUGUCUGGGGAUUUUGAAGAUGAAUGGUCUACUACCUGGAAGGUUCAGAUUUGUAUUGCCCAUACUGCAAGGGAAAGCCUAACUAUAAACCAGAGUAGCAUGAGGGAUAUCUUUAUUACUCUUGAUUUUAUAGAAGAUCUUCAAUCAUAUGAAGGAUUCAGAGGUCACAGAGAGAUAGUGAGGAUAACUCUAACACCUUAAAGGGGAAAUCCGAAGUCCCAGGCAAGUUUCAGCUCUUUUGCCAAUGCCUGUUGUUUCAGUACAUAUCCUGACACCACGAUUGCCUUUCAUUAGAGAUGUGUAGUUCACUCAGACUAGAUUUCAGUGGUCAUUUUUGUUACAGUGGAUUUUGGAAUAAUCUUUUUCAGUCAUGUUAUUUUAAAUUGCCCGGUAUAUUCCAAUAAAGAUCUUAGAUAAUGGGGGCUGUUUUAUCAUGAUUUUGUGAAACUGAAAAGUAAAAUAUGUAGUAAUUUGUGGUAAGCCAUUAUGAAAAAAAUAGAUGGUUAACUAACAUUUAAAAUAAACAGUUUUCUUUAGUCUUUUAAAUAGAGAAUGGUUACAGGGUGAUUUGUGAUGAGUUCGUAUACUGUAAAUCAUGCCAUUCCAAGUUCAUGUGCUACACAAAUGGAUUAUACUUGAUGAAGGUGGACAAAUUUAAUGCCCAAAUUAAUUACAUGCACACACAGAUACUCAAAACCUUCAUCUUGAUCUGGCCUUCGAGGCAGAUCUUGAGUGUUUUGUGUGUGUGGUUAUACCCUCUUAAAUAAACUCCUUCACUUGCCUGUGUUCCAUGUUUUCGAAUACCUGGUUUCAUAGGCUGUGUGCUUUGUGCCUGUGUGAAAGGGUAGGGUUCCUUUCUCUUUCCAAGCUGUUAAAUCUAGCCCACUCUUUCUAUGCAAGGAUAUUCUUGUAAAUUGAGCAGAACAGUGAAAAUUAUUUGGCAGGAUGUUCUCGGAGAGAAUUCCCAUUUCAUUUAGGUUAGGCCUUGAGAUCUCUACUGGUUUUGGCUGUUUACUCUCUUGCCAGGAGAGUUGAGGAGGGUAGACUGUAACAUUGACAUUACAUUUGCUGACUUUGGCACAAGGAGUAGGGAUUAACCCUGCACCUACUUCUGGCUUCAUUAAUUUAUUUUUAUCUGAUCUUUGUCCUAUUCAAUAUAUGUUUCUCUCCACUUCUGUGCUAUUUCCUGUAGGGUGAUCCAACGUGUUCUGACCUUAGUUCAUUUCAAAUCAAUAUGAAUCAUAUAAAACAGCCUUUUGAAGUUAGAGAGAUUUUAUAAUACUUGGUGAUUUCAAGGUCUUAAUACUUUUAAACCUUGAGCACACAUUAGUUAACUAGCUUUUCCAGAGCCUAUGUGAGAAGGGUAUUUUUUUUUUUAAAUUAUAUUUUCUAUUUGUAUUAUAACACUAUUUCCUGUUUCUAGAAAUAACUCUAAAUGAGUCUAGUUAGACCCAGAAGGACUAAUUAUCCUAAAUGUCAGCAUUAUAAGAGCAAUAAUAGGGUAUGUCCAGUGGAAGAAAAAUACUGUUAUGUCUGAACCUGUUGCAUAAAUGAGUUAUAAAAACUUGUCACUAAUGCACUUGUCUGAAAAAUCCUUGGAUUGCAGGUUUGCUUCUCAUUCUUGGACAGGUUUGCCUAUCCCCAUUUCUGAUCCUACGUACAUUUAUGUAUGUGGCAUUGGUUUAAUAGAGCUUUCCCACUGCUAGAGAUACUGGAGGGAAGAGAAAUUGUUGGGAGCAGUUCCAUUCUGAGACUCUCCCACACCUCUAGCAUUACAGACCACUUACCCUAAAACCGUUGCCAUUAUUUUCUUUUUGCAGAUGGAAGGAUUUUUUUAAUUGUUUGUAAAAAUGGUGUCAAAUGGAAUGAGCAGCGGGCAAUUUGGAGGCAAUGAUGCCAAAUUAUUCAGUAUUGCCAGCCUACCAGUCAAAGAGAAGUGAAGUCAGCAAUCAUCUUCUCACCUGUGUUACCUGUAAAGUUGCCCUUCAACAGCUACUGCCUGUAAAAUGUGCCUUGUGCCACCAGUAAACUCCAAAUUCCAGCUAUGCAGGGCCAGGUGGGAUGAAAAUAAUGGAAAAUAUGCUCUGGAGUUCCCUACCACUAGGCAUAAGGGAAGAUGAGGGAGUCUUUCCAGGAGGUAAUCAAGUCAGUGAGAGUAUAAGAAACACAUGAAAACUGAUGCUCAGGUAGAAAUUGGGGAUUUUUCAGUGAUGAGAAGUUCAACAUUCUUCUCUUGCUUUCAGUCUGAAGACCUUCAUAUCACUUCAUAUUUUAGGGUAUAAAUCCUUAAAAAUCUAUCCUCUGUCAAAAGAUUCCACUUUGGUUACUUCAGAUAUACAAAGUAUGUUUGGGGGCAUAAAGAUUUCUCUUUCUGUGUCACUCUGAACAUCUCUAUUAGCCUGAAUACAGAGAUUUCUAAGUCAUAUUUUGCAGUCAUCAUUCCACUGUAUGCAUUUAGUGCAAGCUAAUAAAACUGUAUUACCUUGACCUAGCAAAAAAA